GGAUUAUGUUACAUUUCAAAGAUAUUUACCACAACAAGCACAGUAUAAAGGUAUAUAUAUAUAUGCCAAUGCAAUUCAGUAAAUAUGUUACACUAAAUGCUAUAUCAGUGAUUUUCGCAAAACUGAUAUUCUAAAACACUCGGUAUCGAUCGGUAAUUCAAAGAGGUUAAAUAUGCUUUUCAUUGCCUUUCAGACAAUCAGUUUCAAAAGUCUUGGGACAGAUGCCACAAAACCUUUGAAUUUCAACAAACGACAAUCCCCCUCGCCC
rnacentral:lncRNA from 1 species